rnacentral:rRNA from 1 species
AACGAACGCUGGCGGCAUGCCUAACACAUGCAAGUCGAACGAGACCUUCGGGUCUAGUGGCGCACGGGUGCGUAACGCGUGGGAACCUGCCCUUAGGUUCGGAAUAACUCCCCGAAAGGGGUGCUAUACCGGGUAAUGUCUUCGGGCCAAAGGUUUAUCGCCUUUGGAUGGGCCCGCGUUGGAUUAGCUAGUUGGUAGGGUAAAAGCCUACCAAGGCGACGAUCCAUAGCUGGUCUGAGAGGAUGAUCAGCCACACUGGGACUGAGACACGGCCCAGACUCCUACGGGAGGCAGCAGUGGGGAAUAUUGGACAAUGGGCGAAAGCCUGAUCCAGCAAUGCCGCGUGAGUGAUGAAGGCCUUAGGGUUGUAAAGCUCUUUUACCCGGGAUGAUAAUGACAGUACCGGGAGAAUAAGCUCCGGCUAACUCCGUG